CGACUGAUUGCUGCCAUUACUGUCGGGAUACAACAUUUUCCACAUGUGCGGCCCGUUGCGGUCCGCGUAACCGAACGUGUACCGUGGAAAAUUGCAUUCUUCCGCCCAGGGGAACAAUUGGGUCCAGUCGAGGACCUCGACUGGGUUGGAAAAAAAAAGUUAAAAUUAAAAAAGUUCAAAAAAAGCGCGAUGAAAAUGUCCACCAUGUCGCACGAUGUAAGUAAAUCGUGGUAUAAUCACGCGCAAUGAUCAACGUGUCGAAGACAGAUGAUGCGAUAUGAGUGAAGUACAGGAAAUGGAGUGCGCCGGUAAGAAAUUUUCUGAUUCUAAAAAG